UCAUAACAAUAACGACUCUCGGCAACGGAUAUCUAGGCUCUUGCAUCGAUGAAGAACGUAGCGAAAUGCGAUACUUGGUGUGAAUUGCAGAAUCCCGUGAACCAUCGAGUCUUUGAACGCAAGUUGCGCCCGAAGCCUUCUGGCCGAGGGCACGCCUGCCUGGGUGUCACACAUC
rnacentral:rRNA from 6 species